CAAAAACAUUUUUUAACGAAUUUUAUAUUAAAUACAGCCUGCUCCCUGCCCUAUAAAGAGCCGCAGAAAAUUUACUGUGCUAAGGUAGCAUAAUCACUUGUCUUUUAAUUAAAGACUAGAAUGAAAGGCAUUACACUUAGUUAACUUAUCUUAAUCAUACCUCUCUAACUUUCAAUAAAAAUUAAAAUAUUUUUAUAUUAGUAAAAGACGACAAGACCCUUUCGAACUUUACUGAAGUUAAGCUGGGGAAGCUAAUUAAUAAUAAUCUUAACCUAUUCAUUUUAAUAAAAAUCCUUACUAAAGAACAAAUCAAGUUACCGAAGGGAUAACAGCGUUAUACUUUUUUAAAGCUCAUAUUAAUAAAUUUAUAUACGACCUCGAUGUUGAAUUAAUUUUACUCCCUUGUGCAAGAACAAAAACAGUAAGUCUGUUCGACUUUUAAAAAAUUACAUGAUCUGAGUUCAAACCGG
rnacentral:rRNA from 1 species